GCCCAAGCUUUCGGGAACCUCGGUACAGGCAGGCUGGGGCUUCCCUCUUUAACACCGGGCUGAUCACGCUUUGAGCGACGCGCCCACAACCCUUUCGGGGACCCUGGUACAGGCAGGCCUGGAAUCCCCCUCUUUACACCGGGACUCAUCGCCCGCCCAGGCGAUCAGCCCCUCCCGCUUUUGGGGGCCUUGGUACAGGCAGGCCGGGGUUUCCCUCUUUUAUUCCUCCU
rnacentral:ncRNA from 3 species